CGCGGCCUAUCACCUUUUAGGUGGGGUGAUGGCCUACCAAGGCUUUGACGGGUAGCUGGCCUGAGAGGGUGACCGGUCACAUUGGGACUGAGAUACGGCCCAGACUCCUACGGGAGGCAGCAGUGGGGAAUAUUGCACAAUGGGCGAAAGCCUGAUGCAGCGACGCCGCGUGAGGGAUGGAGGCCUUCGGGUUGUAAACCUCUUUCGCUCAUGGUCAAGCCGCAACAUUGGUUGUGGUGAGGGUAGUGGGUAAAGAAGCGCCGGCUAACUACGUGCCAGCAGCCGCGGUAAUACGUAGGGCGCGAGCGUUGUCCGGAAUUAUUGGGCGUAAAGGGCUUGUAGGCGGUUGGUCGCGUCUGCCGUGAAAUCCUCUGGCUUAACUGGGGGCGUGCGGUGGGUACGGGCUGACUUGAGUGCGGUAGGGGAGACUGGAACUCCUGGUGUAGCGGUGGAAUGCGCAGAUAUCAGGAAGAACACCGGUGGCGAAGGCGGGUCUCUGGGCCGUUACUGACGCUGAGGAGCGAAAGCGUGGGGAGCGAACAGGAUUAGAUACCCUGGUAGUCCACGCUGUAAACGUUGGGCACUAGGUGUGGGGGCCACCCGUGGUUUCUGCGCCGUAGCUAACGCUUUAAGUGCCCCGCCUGGGGAGUACGG
rnacentral:rRNA from 1 species